rnacentral:tRNA from 1 species
UCCCUGGUGGUCCAGUGGUUAGCAUGUGGUAUUUCCACUGCUGUGACCCAGGUUCAAUCCUUGGUUAGGGAA